rnacentral:rRNA from 1 species
UACGUAGGGGGCUAGCGUUGUUCGGAAUUACUGGGCGUAAAGCGCACGCAGGCGGACAUUUAAGUCGGAGGUGAAAGCCUUGGGCUCAACCCAAGAAUUGCCUUUGAUACUGGAUGUCUCGAGACCGGGAGAGGUGAGUGGAAUUCCGAGUGUAGAGGUGAAAUUCGUAGAUAUUCGGAAGAACACCAGUGGCGAAGGCGGCUCCCUGGCCCGGUUCUGACGCUGAGGUGCGAAAGCGUGGGGAGCAAACAGG